UACGAAGGGGGCUAGCGUUGCUCGGAAUCACUGGGCGUAAAGCGCACGUGGGCGGAUCUUUAAGUCAGGGGUGAAAUCCCAAGGCUCAACCUUGGAACUGCCUUUGAUACUGGGGAUCUCGAGUCCGGAAGAGGUGAGUGGAACUGCGAGUGUAGAGGUGAAAUUCGUAGAUAUUCGCAAGAACACCAGUGGCGAAGGCGGCUCGCUGGCCCGGUACUGACGCUGAGGUGCGAAAGCGUGGGGAGCGAACAGG
rnacentral:rRNA from 1 species